rnacentral:rRNA from 1 species
GAUGAACGCUAGCUACAGGCUUAACACAUGCAAGUCGAGGGGCGAGCAUGUCGGUUGGCUUGUCAACCGAUGAUGGCGACCGGCGCACGGGUGAGUAACGCGUAUCCAACCUACCCUUGUCCAUCGGAUAACCCGUCGAAAGGCGGCCUAACACGAUAUGCGGUUUACAGCAGGCAUCUAAGGUGAACGAAAUGUGAAGGAGAAGGAUGGGGAUGCGUCUGAUUAGCUUGUUGGCGGGGUAACGGCCCACCAAGGCUACGAUCAGUAGGGGUUCUGAGAGGAAGGUCCCCCACAUUGGAAC